AGGGAAGGUGAUGCCCUUAAUAAAGAUGGUGGGUGGUGGGUUCCCCCCCGGCUUGUUUGUUGGUGCUCGGGUGGGUGUUUCCCUAGCACCGCUUGCUCGUAGGUGCAUGUAAUUGCAGCGAUUUCCUUAGUUUCACAUUUUAAAAAGCCAUUACUGUCCCACCUUCCUGCCAGGCCGUUUAUUUUGUCACUGUGAGCUUGCAUGCCCUCUGGCAGAUGCCUCCCAGCAUGGCUGCCAGUUCCCCCCUUUUCUGCCUGCCCCUCCGUGUGGCUUGAAUGGCUCUUAUCACCUCAGCCUCUGGCCGUAAGUGAUCACCUGGUGGUAGAUAAUGCGGGGAAGUCCCGGAGGAUGGCUGGCACCACAACGCUUUGCUUUCUGUUUGCUGCCUGCGGGAGGCUGCAGGCUCAGCCCCACUCUGGUCUCAGCUGUCAAGGGGGCACCUGGCCGUGGGGUGGCCUGAGGCUCAUGGAGAGGUUAGAAGGAGCCCUCAGCCAGACCCGCCGGCCACAAGGACUGCACCUGUCACUCCAGAGGCUGAAGUCCUAUGACCUAUACUAAAAAGAAGAGCACAGCUGGUGGAUAUGUCAAUGGUGAUGGUGAAGCAAGGACAGUGGUUGAACUGGAUGACCACUGUGCUUUUAUGAUGUAAUUUUUUCAGAUCAAGAAUCUUGCUGUCACGUUCAUAUUUUUUAUUUAAAUAAAAUACACAUUUCCUGGGGUCUGGAAGAAAUACUUAACUGUCUAAUGUGUGUUUUCCAGCUUAAGUCAAUUGAGGAAGAUGCUAGCACACAAAGGCAGAGACAGAGGCUUCCGAUGAAUACUUGUCUUGUGUGACUGUGUGAAGCAUUCAAGUGCCAAAAAGGUUUCUUUUGAGAUGGAAGAUAAGCAAAGAACACAUACUUUUUUGCAAUUAAAAAAAUCUCAUGUUGGAUGAAGACGUUGGAGUACAUUUUUUUAUCAGAUAUAGCCCCCAAAACCGUAGGCAAAGAGGAACCUUCUUAAAUUGAAGAGGUAUCACAGACAGACAUUUUCAAAUUGAAAUCUUUCUGGGUAAAAUAUAAGCGUGGUUUUAACGUGUGCCUCUAGGUGGUGCUAACGUUAUUCCAGUAGUCAAAAUCAAGUUUUAAGAAACAUUUCACAUAGGAGUGAAAGCAUUUUGCUCACAGCUUUUGAGUGCGGGGAGGCACAUCUAUUCAAAAGACCACAUAUUGACGACUUGCGACUAAGAAGGCUUCACACACUUAAUUUCUGGUAAACAAAUAAUCCAUAAAUCUAUGUUCAAAUAACAUUUAAAGGUCUUGUUUGAACCCACAGAAGCUAAUCAUUUCAGAAACGGAGUUAAAACCCGUCUUUAAGCAAAUAUUGAAUCAAAGAAUUGUGGCAUGUUGGAUAUUAGUUUACUCUGUGUCUGGAGAACCAUUUUACACAAGCACUAAUCUAAUGUCUGAGCUUAUGUUUAUACCAUAUUACACCGUGCAUUUUUUAUUUUACCUAUAUGUAGCACAUAGUAAUUCUCAUGUUGUAGGAUCUGUAGCACUGAAGGCACAGCUCGGUCUACCAGCAGUUCUCAGGGUCUUUGGGAAAGCAAGCACUUAUAAGCCUUUAACUGAGAAUUUUGGUGAGAAAGCAAAGCAAAACUUUCCACUGGAAGAUAUUUGUGCAUAGUCUGCACAAAAUGGAAGGAGCUGACAUUAUUUUAUGUUUAUUCAUCCAGCCAUGUUUCCUUUGGACUGUAGUGUAAAAUUUCUACAUAAUUCAGGAUACUUUUUCUUUGUCCUGCCUCAUUCACACAUGCUUCACUUGGCAGCCUAGGUUGCUUGGUAUUCUGAUGCUCACUGAUAGCUUUUGGAUACCAAAAAGUGGGAUCUGACUUUUGAGUCAUUGUUGCUGACUGACUAUUUUCUUUUUAGCAUCACAAUUUCCAGUUGAGGCAAAGUCCAGAGGCAGGCUGUCCUGUAGCUGACCUCGAUGCUUGACUAAAUUAAAAGGAAAUCUGUUUGAAGUGGUGGCUGAGCGGUAAGGAUGGGCCUUAAACUCGCCAUGUUCUGGCACCCAGGAGUUACUUUGUCCUCAGCACUCUGACAGGUUGAAUGCAGCACAGACAGGCUGUGAACUCACUCCUUGGCAUGCAAUCCUGGGCGCUGUGCUGUGCUACAUCUGUUUUGGGUCACAGUGAGCAGCGAAUGACCUCAUGGAUACUCCUGGGACUUGGGAGUAUAGUUGUGUCAGGGGAAAUUUGGGUUUCACUGUGGUCAAUGUAGUAAAAGUCCACAAAUUUUUCCAAACUGAAUCAGAAAGAUCUGUUUAAUAAGGGGUAGCCAGCUCUGCUGACCUACAAAUUGCACAUGGACGCCUUUGUAUGACUGAAACCCACAGGCACGUACUAAAGAGAGCUGAAGGAAACUCUGGGAAAGUGUCUCUGGGCAAAAUGGAAAAUUUCUGAGGGAGCAUUGGAUGCGUGCAGACGAGGCACGCAGGCACGCGUAGGGUCAGCAGCAGUGGCCACUGCUGCAGUAAUGUUUGUCCCAGGUCUUCCAACAACAGCUGAUUCUUGUCGUUUUAUGAAUACUGAACAGACAACAAAGGAAGAUUAUUAUAACCAGAACAACAAACAUUUCAUUUCACUUUGGUGGGGUUCAGUUGCUUAAUUUUUUCUCUUUCUUUGCUCUUCUUGGCUGUUUUCUAAAGUACAUUGUCUUAGGGCAUCUCAUCUGAAAUCCACCACACAUUUGUCAUCCCUUAGGAAUCUCUUUUGGAUUAGGUGUUAUGCACGGUUGGAACAACAAUGGGACUUGAGGACAGACAGUGCCUUGCAGGGUUGUUCCUUUAAUGUAUAAGGCAACACAGACAUGUGCAAUCAGCAUGAGUCUUAGUGUGGUGAGCUAACCACAUAGGUAAUACAAAUUACUCACUGCUUAUGGGUAAUUAACCUGCUAAUUAUUUACAAAGCAUUUUGCUCUCUGGUGGUUUCGUAAGUUGACAGGAACCACCCAAGCUGAAAGAAACCUUUAAAAAUUCUUUUUACCAUUGCCUCACUUCAUGUCAAAUCACAUCAUAUCUCAGAGCAACGUUUUUGUAUAUACAAUGAGGUAAUAGUGAAAAAAGAAACUCCUUCCUUCCAUGUAAAUGCCAGCUGUCAUUUCAAGUAAUCAGAGAUACCCGUCUGUGUGAGGAAUAAAGGAGUACACAGAGUGCCUUUGAAGACCAGAUAUCUGUUCCUGAUUCAAGUUUUAGUAUUCAGAUAAGCUCUAGAUAACCUCUGAAACUUAGAAUCUGAUUCUACAGUUUUAUGCCCUCAACAAUUCUUUUUAAACAAUAAGAAUUUCUUUGUGCUUGUGUUUUAUCUAGUCAUUUUUUGUUCAAAAUAUUUUACCAAGGGUAACCUCUAUGCCUUGUUACAGUGCACUCUUGAUACAUAUGAGUACAAAAAAUGAUGGACAAUACCUGAAUCUUCUACAGUAAUGAUCAAGAAAAGUACAGAGCUAUACCCGGUAUUGCAAGCUAUGCCAUGUUCCUGGUGCUAGGAUCCUUAAGGCUGUUUGGGCAUCUGUGUCUUGUUUUCUUAGGACUUCACGCUAUGGUGGAGACAGCAGCUUACAGUGGUACUGGGCUUGCUUGGACUUCCAUUUUUCUCCUUCACCCUGGGAGGAGCUAGGUUUUCCUCCAUCAUAACAAACCCCCUUCUCCUCUCUACUGGGCUAUAAACACUCACAAAAAGGCUCCCUGGUAGCUUUUUUAUGAUAGAGGACACCCUAAACCAGCCAAACCUUUCCCUUACUUUCCCAGAAUUACCACCUUAUCUCCCUGCACUGUAUAUUUAGAACUUUCUCGAGUCCUGUUUUAGCAUUUUAGUAGAAAGGAGGAGGAGCACUGAGAGCUGGGACUUUUAGUGACUGGAAAUGUGUAGUCUCCCCUUGCAAUGUAUUUAGGUGUUUCACUUUGUUGUAUAUAUAUAUAUAUAUGUUUAAAUUUUUGCUUAGCGUAUUACCUGAAUCUUCUUUGUCAUGUAGACCCUUUGCUGCUUCUUAUAUACAAUAAGAACAUCCAUAAGCUCAUGGUUGUACUCACUAUGGACAUUC